UGGGUAGGUUCAUAACCAGUUGUUUCUCUAAACAACUUCUAGUAAUUAAUUUUGCCCCAGAACCUAAUCAGUAGGCUUUGGCCUCCACUGAAAAGAUCUAGUUAGGUCCAACCAUUAACAUGACUUGAUUUGGUGAAUCGGACCAAUAAAUGAUUAGGCCCGACUUUGGCCGGCCAACCUGACCACCAUCAGAAAGACUCAACCAAAUUAUCAUACUAUGAAUGAUAAUUCCAUUAGUCAAUAAGCACCAGGCCUUUGGGCCUCCAGUUAUUAUUAAACUAAUGGACUCAUUAUCACUCACUUAAUGGGAGGC
rnacentral:lncRNA from 1 species